rnacentral:rRNA from 1 species
GACGAACGCUGGCGGCGUGCUUUACACAUGCAAGUCGAACGGUGAAGGUGGAGCUUGCUCCGCCGGAUCAGUGGCGAACGGGUGAGUAACACGUGAGCAACCUGCCCCUAACUUUGGGAUAACUACUCGAAAGAGUAGCUAAUACCGGAUAUGAAGUCUGUAGGCAUCUACGGACUUGGAAAGUUUUUCGGUUAGGGAUGGGCCCGCGGCCUAUCAGCUUGUUGGUGAGGUAGUGGCUCACCAAGGCGACGACGGGUAGCCGGCCUGAGAGGGCGACCGGCCACACUGGGACUGAGACACGGCCCAGACUCCUACGGGAGGCAGCAGUGGGGAAUAUUGCGCAAUGGGCGAAAGCCUGACGCAGCAACGCCGCGUGCGGGAUGAAGGCCUUCGGGUUGUAAACCGCUUUCAGCAGGGAAGAAGCGAAAGUGACGGUACCUGCAGAAGAAGCACCGGCUAACUACGUGCCAGCCGCCGCGGUAA